UGCUAAAUACUAAAUGACGCAAUGUUUUGGACUGGUCUUCAUUUUCUUCGAUACAGGCACAACCGAGCGUAAAUAUUAAGCGAGAAAGUCUAGUGGAACGAUGCAGGGUUCAUUGGGUUUGUUUACAAAAAUUCAAGCAUCCGGUUAAGAAGACGACAAAUAAGAAUGGUAUUAAGUUGGUAGAAUGGAACUCCUUCCUGAUUCCUGCACAUGUAAGUUACCAGAUACUCUUGAGGGACCAAUUUAAGGGCAAACAGACAAACGUUUUGAUGCAAAGAAAGCAUUGGAUUUGAAAGUUCCCAUGGAGAUGAAAAAUGGAGAGAUUCUAAAAGUAUGAAGAUACUCCUGUGUAUAAUGAGGAAAUCUUGUCAGUGAAUGUUGUUGCAAUUGUGGACCAGGCCAGAGUUGUACUAAACCAACUAAGACACAAUGAGAUACAGGAAUGACACAAUGAGAAACAGGAAACAGGAAAGUGAUGACUGAUCGCCACCUGUUACAAAUUCAUCUAGAAAACUCCCCACAUCCAACAAGAGACAGUCUGACUUCAAAAUCUUCAUUGAAGGCAACUUAAUGGACAAGACAUCCGUCACAUAAAGAUUCACUAAAAUUGGAAUGAUAUACCAAUUUUAACUUUUAACAGACAAAUACAUUAUAGAUUUGAAAAUAGAUUACCCUUAGAUAAGUUGGAUGAUUAACAUUUACCUCAACACAGUACAAAGUGCUCAUGUUGAACUAUUGUGAUUGAUCAUAGUCUGUCCUUCAUUUUUAUUAACAGUUUCAUACAGUGUUAACACUUUAGUAUGGGGACUCAUUUUUAGCUCAACUUUUCGUAGAAUAUGGAGAGCUAUACUACUCACCCAAGCGUCGGCGUCGGUGUCACCCCUUGGUUAAGGGUUUGCGUGCAAGCACACAUAGGUUAAUAUCUCAGCAACUACUUGAGGUAUUGCAUUGAGACUUUAUACAAUGGUACUCAACCAUCCAACCUACUUAUUUAAACAAGUAAGAUAACUCUAGUUUGCAUUUAAUGUAAAUAAUAGGCCUUUAUUAUUUGACUUAGAAAUUCUGGUUAAGGUUUUGCAUGCAAGCACACAUAGGUUAAUAUCUCAGCAACUGCUUGAGGUAUUGCAUUGAGACUUGAUACAAUGGUACUCAACCAUCCAACCUACUUUUUUUAAACAAGUAAGAUAACUCUAGUUUGCAUUUAAUGUAAAUAUUAGGCCUUUAUUAUUUGACUUAGAAAUUCUGGUUAAGGUUUUGCAUGCAAGCACACAUUAUAUCUAAGGUUAAUAUCUCAGCAACUGCUUGAGGUAUUGCAUUGAGACUUGAUACAAUGGUACUCAACCAUCCAACCUACUUAAUUUUCCAAGUUAUAUAACUAUAGUUUGCAUUUAAUGCAAAUACUUGCGUUUAUUAUUUCACUCAGAAAUUCUGGUUAAGGUUUUGCAUGUAAGCACACAUAGGUUAAUAUCUCAGCAACUACUGGAUGAAUUGCAUUGAGACUUUAUACAACCACCCAACCUAAUUGAAUAAUCAAGUUAGAUAAAAAUUCUGGUUAAAAUUUUGCAUGUAACCACAUUUAUGUUAAUAUCUCAGCACAUCAUGUAUUGCAUUGAAAUCUAAUCUUACAGUGAUCCAUGCAUGUUUCGCCAAAACUUUUCAAUCCUUUCACUGAAAAGCAGCGGAAUAGUCGAGAGCGCUGUCUCUGUGACAGCUCUUGUCUCUUUGGUCUUUAUUCAUACUGGCCAGAAUAUGUUUACCAAAAAAAUCUUAGUAGAGAUUGAUAACUGUUCAGGUUGGACAAAAAGCAUGUAGGUUGUUUGUUCUAAUAAUAUAAACUGUAAAUGCUUCAGAAACUAUAUAUAUAAUUUUCAUGAUAUUUGUCAGUAUUUAUUCUCGUCAACAUUUAAAUGAUAUUAGGUGAAACUUGUUUAUUGGUCAAAAUGUGUUUGAUUAGAGUGGCCUCAAGUUCCACUUUAUAUGAAUGAAAUUUGGUCAAGUUUUAGAAAAAAACUAUGUUCUAGUUUUAUAGGCCAUAUUCUCUUCCCAAGCCCUCCUUAAAGAAUGAAUGUAGGUAAGAUGAAACAGGAGUCACUAAAUCAAGUAUUAAAAGCCUUAAAAAUUGCUAUUCAUAGAGGUAUUGUUUCCUCAUCAUAAAUCACAACUUAGCCAGCAAGACUUUACAACAAAUAAGGCAUAACAUGUAAAAAGUUAAUAAUUAGGCACAUAUUUUAGUGAAUAAAAUCUUGUGAACAUAUUAUUGAAACAAAUAAUGUGUCUGGUUCUGAGGUGAGCAAUAAAGCACAUUGCUUAGUAACAAUUGAGCUAGCUCAUUAUUAAAAGUUUGUUUUAAACAUGAAUUAAAUGAAUGCAAAUCAUAUAUUAUUAUUUUUAAUCUAUAUUUUUUUUAGUUACCUUGUUCUGUUGUUAAUUUCCAUACUGACUUGGUCAAUUACGGCUAAUUGUCUAAUUAUAUUUUAACUUCUAACCUAAAUGUUUCAUUGUACUUUUGAGUGUUCUGUUAACUAUAUUGCACAUUAUCCUAUAUGACAGUAUAAAUUCAAUAAAACCAUGGUUAUUAAGUUCCAUACAUAUUGGAGCACAUGGUAAGCCUCUAGAAAUGUCACUUCUUAAACCUAGAUUCUUGAUCUGUUCGCCACAUUGUUUUGUUAAUUUUUUGUUUAUAAAAACAAAUGAUUGUUUAAUGUCAAGGAAACCUUUUUAAAGUUAAAAUGUAGAUGUACAUAGAUAACUGUCAAAUAUUAUUUACCAUUUAAUAACUGUCUAAAGGCAAAAUUUCCAUUCAUUUUUAUAUUUGAUUUGGGUCCCUAGGGUCAUGGUCACUGUAACUAAAAAUAGAAAAAUGCUUGGUACUGAAUAACUUCAGUUUUAAUACAUUUAAAACUGAAUCUCACAAUAAAGGCUGAAGUUCUUGUUGCAUUGCAGCAUUUCUAGUUAACUUUUUAAUUUGACUCUUUUUAUUGCUUUCGACAGGCACAUAUUACAUCAUUAUUGUAUUCAUUUUUAAGACAAAGCCUCAUUUAAUUGAGCGUGCUGUCCAAAGACAGCUCUUGUUGACAUAAUUAUAAGACACCUUAUGUUAUGGUUUAUAUGAACAAUAGCUGUUUCUGUGUAUGUUUUAGAAGAAACUUCCAUUUCUUAUCAUAUUGAUGGACAUAGAUAUACAUACAUGUACGGGAUUAUUGACAUCAGAUUCUUAGGAUUAAAUUUACUAAUGUUCUGUUCAUGUUCAAAAUAGAUACAGUUAUGGUAAAUG